rnacentral:rRNA from 1 species
AUUGAACGCUGGCGGCAGGCCUAACACAUGCAAGUCGAGCGGAUGAAGGGAGCUUGCUCCUGGAUUCAGCGGCGGACGGGUGAGUAAUGCCUAGGAAUCUGCCUGGUGGGGGAUAAUGUCCGGCGACGGGCGCUACUACUGCAUCCGUCCUGCUGGGGAAGGUGGGGGGUCUUCUUACCUCACCCCAUCAUAUGAUCCUAGGUCGGAUUAGCUAGUUGGUGGGGUAAAGGCCUACCAAGGCGACGAUCCGUAACUGGUCUGAGAGGAUGAUCAGUCACACUGGAACUGAGACACGGUCCAGACUCCUACGGGAGGCAGCAGUGGGGAAUAUUGGACAAUGGGCGAAAGCCUGAUCCAGCCAUGCCGCGUGUGUGAAGAAGGUCUUCGGAUUGUAAAGCACUUUAAGUUGGGAGGAAGGGCAGUAAGUUAAUACCUUGCUGUUUUGACGUUACCAACAGAAUAAGCACCGGCUAACUUCGUG